UGGAGCUGUCCACUAGCAUCUGCUACUUUGUCUGUCCGGUUAGGAAGGAAUUCUUUGAAGAUACACCCUGAGGAAAAUUAUGCAAUUUGGGGACAGAUUUUGAAGCUUUUAAAUGUGGUGUCAGCUCCGCGCUAGUGAUCCUAAUUAGUGCAAUGGCAUCAGGAGGUGGAGACGGCGUCUUAGGAUUAUUAAUUUUUAGUGUUUAUAGUCGCGAAAAGUGGCGAUUUCAUUAUGUUUUUGCGAAGCCCGCCUCCUCUUGUCGGUUGCGUUAGAUGUGGAUCAGCAGUUGGCUGUGGUCAAGUAGGUUUUAGCGUCAGUUCUUGUAGGCGCUCGUCAGUCUGAGUUUUGAGAGAGUUUGGAGGCAGACAGAAGUGCGCUUUUUCAUCAGAUAAAGAUGUCGUUUUAAUAGAUAUAAGUAUUUGUAAUUUAAUUGGAUGUAUCCAUGUCAAGAUUGUUGUCUCUUCCUUGAGUAAUUAAUGCCAAUAAAAUGUCGAUUUUCUUUUCUAAAUUGUCGACUCUAUUUGCUAAGUUUCUUGUGGGAUCGUCCGAUAAUCCUUUUUGUAGGAAAUGAUUGGAGUUUCUUGGCGAUGGUGUGGCUACAUCAAUAACUCUUGGUUUAAAACUAGCUCUGGCAGCUCUGCUGGUGGUCGGAGGGCUGUCAUUGCUAGCUAGGCUGGGGU